rnacentral:rRNA from 1 species
AACUCUAGUUUAAGAGUUGAUCAUGGCUCACAUUGAACNGUUGGCGGCAGGCUUAACACAUGCAAGUCGAGCGGGGAAGUGGUAGCUUGCUACCUGACCUAGCGGCGGACGGGUGAAGGGUUUAAAAAUUUGGCCCUUUAGGAAUCUGCCUAUUAGUGGGGGACAACAUCUCGAAAGUGGAUGCUAAUACCGCAUACGUCCUACGGGAGAAAGCAGGGGAUCUUCGGACCUUGCGCUAAUAGAUGAGCCUAAGUCGGAUUAGCUAGUUGGUGGGGUAAAGGCCUACCAAGGCGACGAUCUGUAGCGGGUCUGAGAAGGAUGAUCCGCCACACUGGGACUGAGACACGGCCCAGACUCCUACGGGAAGCAGCAGUGGGGAAUAUUGGACAAUUGGGGGGAACCCUGAUCCAGCCAUGCCGCGUGUGUGAAGAAGGCCUUAUGGUUGUAAAGCACUUUAAGCGAGGAGGAGGCUACUUUAGUUAAUACCUAGAGAUAGUGGACGUUACUCGCAGAAUAAGCACCGGCUAACUCUGUGCCAGCA